rnacentral:tRNA from 1 species
AGAGGAUAGCAAGAAGAAACCCAGGUUUCUAACCUUUGGUUUAAGCGGUUAAACUCCG